AGAGUUUGAUCCUGGCUCAGGAUGAACGCUAGCGGCAGGCUUAACACAUGCAAGUCGAGGGGCAGCGGGGAGGAAGCUUGCUUUCUCCGCCGGCGACCGGCGCACGGGUGAGUAACACGUAUGCAACCUGCCCCUGUCAGGGGGACAACCCGCCGAAAGGCGGGCUAAACCCGCGUACAUGCCACCGGGGCAUCCCGGAGGCAGGAAAGGCUUCGGCCGGACAGGGAUGGGCAUGCGGCGCAUUAGGCAGUAGGCGGGGUAACGGCCCACCUAACCGACGAUGCGUAGGGGUUCUGAGAGGAAGGUCCCCCACACUGGUACUGAGACACGGACCAGACUCCUACGGGAGGCAGCAGUGAGGAAUAUUGGUCAAUGGUCGGGAGACUGAACCAGCCAAGCCGCGUGAGGGAGGAAGGUACAGAGUAUCGUAAACCUCUUUUGUCAGGGAACAAAGGCGGGGACGUGUCCCCGGAUGAGUGUACCUGAAGAAAAAGCAUCGGCUAACUCCGUGCCAGCAGCCGCGGUAAUACGGAGGAUGCGAGCGUUAUCCGGAUUUAUUGGGUUUAAAGGGUGCGCAGGCGGUCUGUUAAGUCAGCGGUCAAAGCCCGGGGCUCAACCCCGGCCCGCCGUUGAAACUGGCAGUCUCGAGUUGGAGAGAAGUAUGCGGAAUGCGCGGUGUAGCGGUGAAAUGCAUAGAUAUCGCGCAGAACUCCGAUUGCGAAGGCAGCAUGCCGGCUCCACACUGACGCUGAGGCACGAAAGCGUGGGUAUCGAACAGGAUUAGAUACCCUGGUAGUCCACGCAGUAAACGAUGAAUGCUGGCUGUCCGGGGGGAUUGACCCCUGGGUGGCGAAGCGAAAGCGAUAAGCAUUCCACCUGGGGGAGUACGCCGGCAACGGUGAAACUCAAAGGAAUUGACGGGGGCCCGCACAAGCGGAGGAACAUGUGGUUUAAUUCGAUGAUACGCGAGGAACCUUACCCGGGCUCAAACGGGGAGUGACUCAGGCAGAGACGCCUGUUUCCCACGGGACACUCCCCGAGGUGCUGCAUGGUUGUCGUCAGCUCGUGCCGUGAGGUGUCGGCUUAAGUGCCAUAACGAGCGCAACCCCCGCGUGCAGUUGCUAACAGAUAACGCUGAGGACUCUGCACGGACUGCCGGCGCAAGCCGCGAGGAAGGCGGGGAUGACGUCAAAUCAGCACGGCCCUUACGUCCGGGGCGACACACGUGUUACAAUGGGUGGUACAGCGGGAAGCCAGGCGGCGACGCCGAGCGGAACCCGAAAUCCACUCUCAGUUCGGAUCGGAGUCUGCAACCCGACUCCGUGAAGCUGGAUUCGCUAGUAAUCGCGCAUCAGCCAUGGCGCGGUGAAUACGUUCCCGGGCCUUGCACUCACCGCCCGUCAAG
rnacentral:rRNA from 1 species